GACGUAGGGCGCGAGCGUUGUCCGGAAUUAUUGGGCGUAAAGAGCUCGUAGGCGGUGUGUCACGUCGGCCGUGAAAACCUGCAGCUUAACUGUGGGCGUGCGGUCGAUACGGGCAUCACUGGAGUUCGGCAGGGGAGACUGGAAUUCCUGGUGUAGCGGUGAAAUGCGCAGAUAUCAGGAAGAACACCCGUGGCUAAGGCGGUUCUCUAGUACGGUACUGACGCUGAGACGCGAAAGCGUGGGGAGCGAACAGG
rnacentral:rRNA from 1 species